UAUUCCAGGCAUUUAACCGCUUUUUUAAUAAUCUUUAAAGGUAUGAGCUCAACAUCGUUCUUAAGUAAUUUUUCAACGGCUGUAUAUUAUUUCAUAUUUCUGUUUGAUAUUUUAAACAUAAGUCAAAUUUUUUUCUUCAAAUUUUGAAAUUUUUAAACCUAACUAAUCACUUAAACACGGUCUUCUUGCUAGUUCAACUAGAUUUGAUUACAUGACGCGUUAUUAAAAAUUAAGUGUUAUAAUUUCUUUACGAUUUUUUAUUUUAUUUUUUUAAUCAUGUACAUAUGUACAUAUGUAUGUACAAACUUAUACAGCAGUAGUUGCUGUUGCUCACAUGCUAUUGUAUCAAUGUGUCUUACUGUCGCUGCAUACUAUUUACAAAAAUAAUAAAAAGAUUUCGAAUAAAAUCAAACAAAGUUGAUACAUAAAUAAAAAAAAUUAAAAAUUUGUAAGUACAUACAUACAUACACAUAUACACGCCGUAAUUAUACGCUGAGUUCGUUGCUAAUGUGCUACCACUUUUUUCUAACUUUACGUAUAAACUGUAAAUUGUUUCAUGGGUCGGUUACCUGAGAUACUUUUCUAACUACCAAAUCAAAUGCACAGUCCGACACACAUAUUUAUAUACAUAUCUAUAUGCAUAUGUAUUUGCGCCGAAAACAACAUAGAGCACCAUAAAAUCUGUGAGCACCACGCACAUACAACUCCCACUAUAAAAUACACUUAUUUCACUCUACGGAGCAACUCACAACUACACAAAUAUAUAUAUAUAUAUAUGUGCGUGCGUGUGUGUGCAUGCUUUUGAGUUCACUCAUUUUCUCAUUUACUCACACGCUCAUUUGUAACACGAUUAUUUUGCUUUUUUGUUUUUUUUGUUGUAUUUCUUCGUUCAACACCAUUCACUCUCUGCAUUUUUGCGGCGCUCAUUACGCUCUUUGAUUUGCAUUGUUGAUUUGCUCUCCUUUUGUUUCGUUUAUACAAUUUUCCUUGCGUUACACGGCAGAUAUUUCGGUGUUUUGUGAACUGCGUGUGGAGUGUGAAGUGCUUGUUCGGAAUAUAUUACGGCUACGGCUGGUGAACACAUCAUCAACAACAUUAUUUGCUACCAAAAAAAUAUUUCCGCUGUUUGCAGUAAUAGUAACAAACUGACGCUGCGUGGUGAAGUGUCGUUGUUUUGCUUAUUGGUAAUGUUUGUUCGCGUCAAAGCUCACACGUUUUAUAUUUGAUAGUGCGGCGACUAUACAUAUGGUAUGCGUACGGUGCGCACGUAGAAAAUUGUUAAAAAAUUUUGACCAUAUCACUCGUUUUGGCACAUUUUGAUAACAACAUUUUUUCCAAAUAAACUGCUCGACAUAAUAUGCGCUAUCAAUAAAGACACAUAAGUAAAAAGUUCCUAUUUAACAAUUAUUAUAAACUUUAAGGAAAAUGAAAUCAACUCUGUAAAUAAAAUAAUUAAGUAUAAGUAGCAUGAAAAAUAAGGUCAUAAAACAAG